CUGCAUCACGAGGACACGCCUUUGUGUAGAAACCGAAAGUAAAGUCUCAAUACUAACCGAGUGUAAAUUCACAUUUCCAAGAGUUACAAACUGGCAUAAAAAUCACAUUACGACCUCAAAUCAGUUCUUCAUCAUGGAGAUCAGUGAGAUAUCUUCAUCUCCAGAUCCCAGCUGUGUGUCUCUGAAGAGUGACGCAUCCAUGAUGAAGCCUCCUGAAUUCAGUGCUGAACCAGUGACCUCUGACCCCAGGUGAGACACUGUCUCGUACUGGAGACAAUAGACUGACUCAUACAACAUCAUACAUCAUCUGAACUAAUUGUAGUGCUGCUUGAUUAAUCGAAUGUGAUUGUCAUGCUCAUCUUGUCAGUAAAGCGGUUCUGUGAUUAGUAGUAAAUCUCCAUCAGGUGCUUUCAGAUGGAGCAGCAUUUACUACACAGAGCCGUAGUUCACUGACGGACUACACAAUAUCUCAUUCAUAAUCACAGAUGAUAUAAUCACACGAUUAUGAGAUCGAAGAAAUUGUUCGUGAUUAUGAAAGCUGUUUGUGUAGCUUUUCAAUAAACUACAACUCUGUGUAGGAAAUGAUGCUCCA
ensembl:lncRNA